AACCCAGAUAAAGCCAACCCAGAUACAGCCAAUAAUGGGACAAGAAGGGAGGGAGAGAGAGAGAAAAAUCAGAAGAGAGAUCCAGCUGAACCAAAGCCUAACUUCUGGCAAAUCAAAGAGUUGCUUCUUUAGAGCUACAUUUAGACUGGAUACACAACACAUUCACAUGGGUAAAUCAGUUUUAUACAUUCCUAUAAAUUGUACACCAGUUUUAUAUAUUAAUGUAAAUUGGAUCAGCAGCAGACGAAGGAGCAGUUUAUACUGAAAUGGCAGACUAUAGGGCAGCGAUUCUCAAGUAGGGUGCCCUGGCACCCU